rnacentral:tRNA from 1 species
GCGGGAGUAUUUCAAUUUUUAGAAUACUGACCUUCCUGGUCAGAGAUACAGGUGCAAGUCCUGUCUUCCGCUCCA